rnacentral:rRNA from 1 species
UUUUGUGGAGGGUUCGAUUCUGGCUCAGGAUGAACGCUGGCGGCGUGCUUAACACAUGCAAGUCGAACGGGAUCCAUCAGGCUUUGCUUGGUGGUGAGAGUGGCGAACGGGUGAGUAAUGCGUGACCGACCUGCCCCAUACACCGGAAUAGCUCCUGGAAACGGGUGGUAAUGCCGGAUGCUCCGACUCCUCGCAUGGGGUGUCGGGAAAGAUUUCAUCGGUAUGGGAUGGGGUCGCGUCCUAUCAGGUAGUCGGCGGGGUAACGGCCCACCGAGCCUACGACGGGUAGCCGGCCUGAGAGGGCGACCGGCCACAUUGGGACUGAGAUACGGCCCAGACUCCUACGGGAGGCAGCAGUGGGGAAUAUUGCACAAUGGGCGCAAGCCUGAUGCAGCGACGCCGCGUGCGGGAUGACGGCCUUCGGGUUGUAAACCGCUUUUGAUCGGGAGCAAGCCUUCGGGUGAGUGUACCUUUCGAAUAAGCACCGGCUAACUACGUGCCAGCAGCCGCGGUAAUACGUAGGGUGCAAGCGUUAUCCGGAAUUAUUGGGCGUAAAGGGCUCGUAGGCGGUUCGUCGCGUCCGGUGUGAAAGUCCAUCGCUUAACGGUGGAUCUGCGCCGGGUACGGGCGGGCUGGAGUGCGGUAGGGGAGACUGGAAUUCCCGGUGUAACGGUGGAAUGUGUAGAUAUCGGGAAGAACACCAAUGGCGAAGGCAGGUCUCUGGGCCGUUACUGACGCUGAGGAGCGAAAGCGUGGGGAGCGAACAGGAUUAGAUACCCUGGUAGUCCACGCCGUAAACGGUGGAUGCUGGAUGUGGGGCCCGUUCCACGGGUUCCGUGUCGGAGCUAACGCGUUAAGCAUCCCGCCUGGGGAGUACGGCCGCAAGGCUAAAACUCAAAGAAAUUGACGGGGGCCCGCACAAGCGGCGGAGCAUGCGGAUUAAUUCGAUGCAACGCGAAGAACCUUACCUGGGCUUGACAUGUUCCCGACAGCCGUAGAGAUAUGGCCUCCCUUCGGGGCGGGUUCACAGGUGGUGCAUGGUCGUCGUCAGCUCGUGUCGUGAGAUGUUGGGUUAAGUCCCGCAACGAGCGCAACCCUCGCCCUGUGUUGCCAGCACAUGAUGGUGGGAACUCACGGGGGACCGCCGGGGUCAACUCGGAGGAAGGUGGGGAUGACGUCAGAUCAUCAUGCCCCUUACGUCCAGGGCUUCACGCAUGCUACAAUGGCCGGUACAACGGGAUGCGACACGGCGACGUGGAGCGGAUCCCUGAAAACCGGUCUCAGUUCGGAUUGGAGUCUGCAACCCGACUCCAUGAAGGCGGAGUCGCUAGUAAUCGCGGAUCAGCAACGCCGCGGUGAAUGCGUUCCCGGGCCUUGUACACACCGCCCGUCAAGUCAUGAAAGUGGGUAGCACCCGAAGCCGGUGGCCUAACCCUUUGUGGAUGGAGCCGUCUAAGGUGAGACUCGUGAUUGGGACUAAGUCGUAACAAGGUAGCCGUACCGGAAGGUGCGGCUGGAUCACCUCCUUUCUACGGAG